rnacentral:rRNA from 1 species
AUGGGUAUGCAGGCUCUGAUGAAUGUCCGGUGCACGAACCUUGUCAACCCUGUAUGCGACUGGCUUGGUGAGAUUUACGACCCCGCCUCCAGGGAAUUUGUGAUUCCGGGACGUGGAAGACUAACGUUCAACGAGGAAUCCGUGUUCUGCACUUUGGGUGUGCCUCGUGGACAUAUCAAAGUCCCGUACGAGGUCAAUAACGAGAUCGAGGAAGCGUUGUUCCCCUUGUUUCCUGGGUUGGAAUCCAUGCCGAACACGUCUGCACUGGCAGAUUCGCUGCAGGCCAUGACGAUCCAUGGAGAUGUUUUCAAGAUGAAGCUACUCAUGUACCUCAUCUCAGCUGUUUUCACGCCGACCACUUCUCUUCGCCCAAGCAACAAAUGCUUCCCCAUCCUGGCGGAUCUAAAAAAUAUGAAGAACAUGAAUUGGUGUAAGUUUAUUGCCGACUUCCUGCACGAUGCAUUCUCAAGCAAGAUGUACCAAAAGGGUUGUCGACUGCAUUUAAUGCUCAUGUACGUCGACUGUCUUGAUCUGUUCACCGUGGAUUUCACUGGGACAGGAGGUCCGCCGCCUACGCACAAGUUUGCUGUUUCUGCGUGGACUAUCAAUGCUGUCAAGGCUGUGCUUGCCGCAGACAGGGUAACUGAUACCAAAUAUGGAAAACUGUAG